rnacentral:tRNA from 1 species
CAGGACGUAGCUAUAAACCAAAAGCACUCAGCUUACACCUGAAAGAUGUCUAUAAAUCCAAGACCGUCCUGA